rnacentral:piRNA from 1 species
AGUUCAGGACAGGUAGAAAGGAUGAAUAGA